GAGGCGAAGGUCAACAUUACAAGAAAAACAGAACGAUAACUUUUAGGAAACGUUCGUGGCUGCACGAAAAAUAGCACAUUAUCAAUGAACAAAACAAAUUACAAUAAUGUGGCCGUCGUGUCAAUUCAGGUCGCGUCUCUUUUAUUGAAUUGCUUAAUGGAAUAAUGCCCACUCCCCAUGCCAUAUGUAGCACUUGUAGCAGAUUUCAGGCCUGAGCCAGCCAUUGUAACAAUAUGCCAGUUGUGCUUGUGCUGCUAUUGACAGUCUGUCAGGUUGUCACUGUCAUCAGCAACAAUCUCAGUUAUUAUCGAUUGGAGAAGCAGCAUCCCGUUUGUUUAGAGAAACGAAACUACCGAUGUCGGGUAGAUUUAAGGAUCUUUUCUUCCCCUUUUUGGUAAAUCCUUUCUGUUCUCGUGUGUAUACCCAUGUGUGUUUGGGCAGGACCCCCUGUUUCCUAUGUCUUUCACCUGGAUUCGACUGUUCAGGAUGGACCACUUGUGGAUGCCUGACUGUAUUUCCCAGGCUUAAAGAUAUUUCCUCAGUAACGAUAAAGAAUGCUUGUUCUCUGUUCAACACACUGUACUCUUCCGCCACUCUUCCACCACUCUACCGCGUGACUCACGUGUAAAACCCGCGCGCGGGUUAGUCGAGCCGGGACGUCAAGGGAAGUAGGCGACGAGAGAGAUAUAAAGCUCUCUGCUCACGACCGAUCCGCCUUCAUUCUCCACCUGGAAACCGUGCGGAAGGAGCUUUUACGCAGAAACGUCGGACGCUCGCUAUCGCGGUAUAUAGCUACGUUUUAGUUUUCUCUCAGUAAAUUGAGUUUUAUCAACUACAGCGUUAAGUAUAGUCCCCGAAAAGUGCGUUUUUCUCUGUCACGGACUGUAAUUUGCGGCAACAAACUUCCCCAUUUAAAGAUUUCUUCCUGAACAAAAGGUUUCUUCUUCAGCUGUCUUGGUAAUGUCACCAAAAGUUUCCGUAUUGACGUACACUUCGUGCGCGAUGUUGAUCGCGGCACUCGUCCUGUGCGGGCCGACUUCAUCAGCAGUCGCCAAACACCCGGGCGGCAAACGGUUUGACUGCCGCCUUUUUUGCAGACUAACCGGAUACCACGGAAUGAUCGGCGGAUGUCGUUGCAGCUUCACUCUCUUCACCGCUAAGAGAUCUGAUCCCACCUGGAGUGAGGACCAGGACUUCUUAAGACAUGGAGAGUUCGGCCUCAGUGACAGCAGCAGCAGCAGCAGAAACAAAAUUCUUCCAUCGGCUAUCAGUUAUUUCCGGAUCAAACCGGCGCUGCACGAGAAAAAAUAAAAGACUGAGUAAUGAAGUCGAUGAGUGGAUCGCGACGCCGUCUCUCCCACUGCAUUCCUUAUCCUCCUACUCUAAGUCUAAGGAUUACGUACGUCAAACGAUGAAUAGCUUCAAAAGAAAGUAUACCCAAAUAACAUGGCGGCUCACGGCGUAGUUUGAGGCAAUCGAUUUCUACUUUCCGGAAACUGAAAUUCAAAUUACAAUCCUCUGCUGGGAUUCAGUCACGAUAUUCUGUUUAUGAUUUUAUGUUCAAAUUCGUCCAAACGAUCGCAUUGUAUUUAUUAACGUAUCUGACAUUCGUUCCUUCAUCUCUCACACCCUGCCCUGAUACUGAGAAACGAAAAUUCCACCACGGAUUGGAGAAUUGCAAGAGCGCAACAAAAAGAUUAUUGGUACAGAAUAUUGGAACUUUUCCCUCCCCAUUUUCGUUUAACUGUAACACGUCUAUAAUGUUUAAUUUGUCUAUAUACUACGAAUAAAUAAAACCAAUAAAUUUGAGCUGUGCAAC
rnacentral:lncRNA from 1 species